CCAGGGAGGGAGGAUGGGAGUGGGUAGGUGGGUGGGGGAACACCCUCACAGAGGCAGGGGAGAGGUAUGGGUUUCUAAAGGGGAGUCCUGGAAAGGGGAAAACAUUUGAAAUGUAAAUAAAGAAAAUAUCCAAGAAAAAAAAAAACCAAAACCCUAGCUAACUGACUAAUAGAAAAGUAUUGUGGUCUGAGACUGUAGGGGCAAAACCCCUCAUCCCUACAACCUCUUUCAGGCAUCUAUGAAUCUCAGCAUGAUAAGUUAAUUAUAGCUGCUGUGAUAAAAAUACAAACACCUGUAAUUCCCCUGCCUCUACUGGGAAACAGGAGACAGAGACAGAAGAAUCCCCAUACGAUCCUGGGCCAUCCAGCCUGGAGUAUAUGGAGGUUAGACCUUGUCUCAAACUAGGUAGAAAGUAAGUAGAGAAACCAGAGAUUAGCUGGUGUCUUAGUCAGGGUUUGUAUUCCCGCACAAAACAUCAUGACCAAGAACCAAGUUGGGGAGGAAAGGGUUUAUUCAGCUUAUACUUUCCAUAUUGCUGUUCAUCACCAAGGAAAGUCAGGACUGGAACUCAAGCAGGCCAAGAAUCAGGAGCUGAUGCAGAGGCCGUGGAGGGAUGUUACUCCCUAGCUUGCUUCCUCUGGCUUGCUCAGCUUGCUUUCUUAUAGAACCCAUGACUAUCAGCCCAGGGAUGGCACUACCCACAAUGGGUCCUCCCCACUUGAUCACUAAUUGAGAAAAUGCCCCACAGCUGGAUUUCAUGGAGGCAUUGCACCAAUUGAAGCCCUUUUCUUUGUGAUAACUCCAGCUUGUGUCAAGUUAACUCACAAAACCAGUUAGUGCAAGUGACUCCUUGUUAACUUGACAUACAAACACAUCACUAUUAAGCAUCAACCCUUACUUUCUUAUUCAUCCCCAAGAUCUAAAUAACGUCAAAAAUUCCACAGUCUUUGCAAAUUUUUACAUAUUAAAAUUUCAAUCCUUUUAAAUAUCCAAUCUCUUUUAAAAUUCACAGUCUUUUUACAAUUCAAAGUCUCUCAACUGUGGGCUCCACCAAAAUUCUUUCUUCCUUCAGGAGGGAAAAAUAUCAGGGCACAGUCACAAUCAAAAGCAAAAUCAAACUCUAUCUGGGAUCCAAACAAUAUCUGGGAUACACUCAUGAUCUGGCAUCCUCCAAGGGCUUGGGUCACUUCUUCAGCUCUGCCCUUUGUAGCACACCUUGUCGUUUAGGCUCCACAUGCCUGUACUCCACUGCUACUGCUGUUCUUGGUGGCUUUCUUCAUUGUUCCGGGCCUCAAA
rnacentral:lncRNA from 1 species